rnacentral:rRNA from 1 species
GAUGAACGCUAGCGGCAGGCUUAAUACAUGCAAGUCGUGGGGCAGCAUGAAUGUAGCAAUACAUUUGAUGGCGACCGGCAAACGGGUGCGGAACACGUACACAACCUUCCUAUAAGUGGGGAAUAGCCCAGAGAAAUUUGGAUUAAUACCCCGUAACAUAACGAUGUGGCAUCACAUUGUUAUUAUAGCUUCGGCGCUUAUUGAUGGGUGUGCGGCUGAUUAGAUAGUUGGCGGGGUAACGGCCCACCAAGUCUACGAUCAGUAGCUGAUGUGAGAGCAUGAUCAGCCACACGGGCACUGAGACACGGGCCCGACUCCUACGGGAGGCAGCAGUAAGGAAUAUUGGUCAAUGGACGCAAGUCUGAACCAGCCAUGCCGCGUGAAGGAUUAAGGUCCUCUGGAUUGUAAACUUCUUUUAUCUGGGACGAAAAAAGGCGAUUCUUCGUCACUUGACGGUACCAGAUGAAUAAGCACCGGCUAACUCCGUGCCAGCCGCCGCAGUAAGAC